CUGAGGAAACUGGAGGACUUCCGAAAGGGGAGGAGCCUCUGGGGAGGGCACCCGGGAGGCGUCCUAAGAGGCAAUAGGCAAACUGCCCUGUGUGGGGCGGGACCAAGGGUGUGAGGGGCGGGGCCCAUGAGAGGCUGGGCGGAGUCCCAAGGUGCCCUCGGAAGUUGGAAACUCCGAGGAACGAGAAGGCGCAGCGCUGGGAGGCCGCUAAGGCCAGAGGAGAACUAACGCCUAGAUGGAAAGGUGGAUCAAAGGCUUCUGGAAGGGCCGGAAGCCACCCUCUGCUCUCCGUGACAAAGAGACUCCGUCGCGGGAACACGAAAUAAUCUCCGUUCGAGUCAACUCAACCCUCAUGAAGCAGAUACUGUGUGCAAGAUACGGAGGGGAAAGUAAGGUGGAGAAAACACAGACCCUGCUUUCAAAGGGUUUAGUCACCAGUGUUGGUAUUGUAAUCCUAGUUUAUCGCUUCUGAUUGCUGCACAGUAUUCCAUAUUGGACAGCAACACAUGUGACUUCCAUUCCCCAAAUGGAUACCAAGGCUACCCCUACCUCUCAGCGAUAAUCAUCCUCGUCCAUGGUCUCUUGUGGACCUAUGUGCAAUUCCUCGGCAACAUAUGCCUAAAAAUGAGAGACUAUAUAUCUGGUAGACAAAAAAGGACAUAAUAUGACAGAGGCAUAAUGCACUAUGGAGGCAAUGGGAGAAGUGGCAGCUGAAGCUGGAGGAUCAGGCUGAACCAAACUGCAAGCCAAGCUAAUGGAAAUGAGAACACAGGGUAGGCAACAGGGCUCAGGCUACUUUGUGUGUUUACAGGAGAUCCAAUCACACUGGGACUAACAGGUGGUGAUACCAUCGUGAUCCAGAGAGACUCCAUAACAUUCCUGAAGGUACAUAACAGAGAAAGACCUAGAGGGCCCUGGCCACCCAUAUCUUGUAUUGGUAUCAGUUAUAGUGCUAUAUGUCUUCCCAUUUCCCAAGAAUCUUCUGAAGGAUUAUUUUACAAGCAGAUGGCCUGCCAAGGUGACAGAAAUUCAAUCCAGAAAACACUUCUUUAAAGCACCUGCUGCAUUGUAAGUACAAGGCUGGCCAGAGGAACCACAGAGCCAACUAAGACAGAGUCACUGCCCUUUGCAUUCACAAUCUGGCUUUGGGGGAAAGAGAGAAAAGACCAUCUACAAGUAAUCCCAACACAAUAUGAUGGCAUAAUUUAGAACAUGCCAUGCCAACAGCGAGCACUAUGGGUGCUGGGUCAGUCUAGACACUGAUACCUGAGAACAUUAUUUAGAAUAUGAGGACAAAAAGACCUUAACAAAGGAAAUCAGGGAACCACAGGAGGUGGAAAGGAACAUGACACGUUCAACUCACAGGAAAGAGAUGCAGGUGACAUCAACUUGGAUGGAUUAAUGGAUGAGAGGAUGGGUGGUUGGACAAAUUAAUGUAUGCUGAUGAAAGAAAGUGCUUCAUUUCCAAUUUUCCAGAUUCCUGAAGACCCUGUUCCCCUUUGUUGUUGUAAUAAAAAGGAACACUAGGUGGCAUCACACUACCAAAAGUUCUCACCUUUUAAAGCCUCCAGGAGACGCUCAUCCACCAAGAUUGGGUCAGCCCCUAAUUUAGACAAGUAAGAGUGCUUCUAUCAAUUUCAUUACUCAUUACAUCCACUUAAUUUAUUUACUGAGCCUCUACUAUGUGCCCAGCCUUGUGCUGCCUACUGUGGAAAAUAUAAAAGGAGUUGAAUCGAGGAUCUCCUCCCAAGGGAGCAUAAGGAGAAGCAAAACACGCAUGGCACCCCCUCCCCCACACAAAAAAAAUUGUAAAACACUCCAAGGCGGGAUGUGGUAAGCACUGAAAUGAGGAUGUCGGAAUAUAAUAUCCAGUGUCAUCUGACCCCUUUGACCUUCUGGUGCCUUCUCCCAUGGCUCACUUCUUGCCCCAAUGGCUUCUUUCAGUUCCCUGUGUAUGUCAUGUUCUUUCCCACCGCUUGGAGUUCACAGAGGUUUAUCUUUCUGUCUGGAAUACUCAACCAUCCCUCUUCACCUGGCUAACUCCCGUCCACCCCUCCUGCAGAUUUCACUUCCUCGGGGAGAGAUUUCCUGACCAUCCCUCAACACCAGAUUACCUUUGCAAGUACCAUGUAUUCGACUUCUUGGACCCUCUCACAAUGGUAGUUAAUCAUGUGUUCAUGGAAAUGGUUGCUUAAGAUCUGUCUUCUCUACAAGCUAUCAAACAAGAAGGCAAGGUACAUGUAUAUCUUGUUCAGCCCUGUCUCCAUUGGUAUUGUAGGCUGAACUGUGUCCCCCUAAAACCCAUAUGUUGAAGCUAUAGCCUCACUACCUCAGAAUGUCACUGUAUCUGGAGAUGAGGGCUUUGUGAGUUAAAAUAAGGCCAUUAGGGUGAGCCUAAUACAGUCUGAAUUGUGUCCUUACAAGAAGAAAUUUGGACACACAAAGAGACACCAGGGACGCAUGUACACAAAGGAAAGACAUAGUGAAAAGAAGGGCAUCUGCAAGCCAAGCAGAGAGGACACAGGAGAAACCAAACCCACUGACACCUUGACCUUGGUCUCCUAGCCUCCAGAACAGUGAGCAAAUAAAUUUCUCUUUAAGCCACCCUAGUCAGUGGUACUUUAUUAUGGCAGACGAAAAAACCAAUAUAAAUGGCCAUCACUCCUCUCAGUUUACAACUAUUAAGUUAAGUGUCUAUUGAAUGAGCUCUAAAAUAAGGAAGAACUGUGAAGGAUAGCAUAUUAGGAAAAGCUACAUGGUAGACAUGGCCCUUGACCUUGACCUUAAAUGAUACAGAUGGCUCAGAGAGUCAUGGAAGAAAAUAGAAGGAAUCCCAAGUAUGGGAAGUAGCAUUGGGCACAUACCAAGGCAAGAAUGUAAAAGUCCUGCUAUAGGGAUGGUGCGGUCCCUCUCAGGGGCCAGUGGACACUAAUGUUGAGAAGAGGGUAGGUGAAUGGUGGAGGUUUGGAAGAAUAACAGAGGCAUGGCUGCAAACUCAAAGACCAGGGACAGCCAAGAACACAUCCAUUCACUCUGCCAGAUAACUUGAAUAUAUGAUCAUGAACUGUAAUACCUCUGCAAAGCUCUUUGUUUAAACCUGGAUAUAAGUGCUUCCUAUGGCACCCUGCUAGGAUUUCUAAGCUGUGUGUUGUGACUCAUAAUAACAGCUUUCUGUACAUAACACUCACUUCUUUAGUAGCACCCAGUGAAGAUACAUCGCAGAACUCCAGAAAAGCAGAAAGAAACAUUGAGAUGUGGCUCUGCAUGGAAAGUCCCAGCCUACGAUGCAAAGCGACUGUGCCCUAAAGGAAACCUGCUCCUGCAAGGGAUCAGAGAGGUCCUGGAGCCAAUUUGGAGGGAGUCCACACAGCCCACAAUUCCUUUCUCGGAGACUAGUAACUCCCCCCAGGAAGUAUGUUCCUUCCUGAUGCCAAAAUGUUAUAGAUGGCCCUAUCUGAUUCCCUGGGGCCAUAGCUGAAGGGUCGGGUAGAGACCUGAUCCACCUGAGGUCAAUCCCAUUAUUUUUCCUGGGGAUUUAUAAAUGGGGUCAAGAGUUGCAAGCCACUCAUUGCUGGGGCCUGGAACUGAGUAUGUGAAUCCCAGGAGAGGCAGAGAAAAGUAGGCUGAACAGAGGGAAGAAUAAAGCAAAUGAACGUAGGGAAGAAUCCACAGGCCCAAGAGAAGGGAGCGUUGGGGGAAGGAGCCUCCCUGGUUGUUGAUGCCUCUUCAGAGCCUGGUAACUCCCUGGGGAGGCCUGGGAAUACCCACACUCUUGAGUCCUGCUAGAUACAACCUCCUAACAAACUGACUUCAUUUGUUUAAACUAGACAGAGUUAGUUUCCAUUGCUUAUACCCCCAAAAACCCAAAAGUCCCGAUCAACACAAAUCCUGUUUAUGCAGGCAUUCUUGCGAUGUCGCUUGAAUUUAGUAUCAAAACUGCAUUUGGGGCCCCAAACAACAUGGCAAAAACUGCCCCUGUCAUCAUAUCUAACAUUUCUCCCCCGGGCUGCUGGGAAGAUUAAAAGCCCACGUGUUACAGAAAAUUGUUGACAUUUAUCAGCCGACCCCCUGCUCACCUUAGAUGACAGAACAGAGUCCCAGCUGGCUGGUGCUCUCCAAGACUGUGCGGGCCAUAUUUUAUUCCUUUAAUCUCCUUUUCCAGCCUGCUGCAGACCAAACUUAACAGAACAUUUGUUGAGCAUUUGACAUCGGUUCCCGAAGGAUCUCCAUACAAACUCCACUCUUGAUACUGGAGGAGGCUACAAAGCUGGGGCACAUUUAUCAGGAAGAUUGAAAGAUUGGCCAUGAAGUGGAAGCAGUGGGCGAUCUGCCAUUGCAGGCGAUGAUUUUUACCAGAAGGGGAUGACAGUGUCACAACCACGCAGUUAUCCAACCUGCCUUGCAUUUCAUUGGCUUAACAGCAACUGCGCUUCUCCCAGUCGGACUACUUUUGGGUAUGACUGGUUCAUUCAGUUGGUGCUCUUGCUGGAGAGGCCAGGCCAAGACUGUAGUUUGGUGUUCUUCCUAGAACCAGGGAGGACUUACACAAAGUCACCAGCUAACCGGAUUAUUCAAAAAGACUGAGUAGCUCCACACAACCUGUUCCCACUACAAAUGAAUAAAUAAAUGAAAUAAAUUAAUGAGUGAAUAAGUAAAUAAAUAAUUCCUUUAAAACAUCAAA